UACGAAGGGGGCUAGCGUUGCUCGGAAUCACUGGGCGUAAAGCGCACGUAGGCGGCUUGUUAAGUCAGGGGUGAAAUCCUGGAGCUCAACUCCAGAACUGCCUUUGAUACUGAAGAUCUCGAGUCCGGAAGAGGUGAGUGGAACUGCGAGUGUAGAGGUGAAAUUCGUAGAUAUUCGCAAGAACACCAGUGGCGAAGGCGGCUCACUGGCCCGGUACUGACGCUGAGGCACGAAAGCGUGGGGAGCAAACAGG
rnacentral:rRNA from 1 species